ACGGGAGGCAGCAGUGAGGAAUAUUGGUCAAUGGACGAGAGUCUGAACCAGCCAAGUAGCGUGAGGGAUGACGGCCCUAUGGGUUGUAAACCUCUUUUGUCAGGGAAUAAAGUCAGGGACGUGUCCCUGUUUGUAGGUACCUGAAGAAUAAGGACCGGCUAAUUCCGUGCCAGCAGCCGCGGUAAUACGGAAGGUCCGGGCGUUAUCCGGAUUUAUUGGGUUUAAAGGGAGCGUAGGCCGUGCUUUAAGCGUGUUGUGAAAUGUAGGCGCCCAACGUCUGCACUGCAGCGCGAACUGGAGCACUUGAGUACGCAGGAAGUAGGCGGAAUUCGUCGUGUAGCGGUGAAAUGCUUAGAUAUGACGAAGAACUCCGAUUGGGAAGCCAGCUUACUGUAGCGCCACUGACGCUGAUGCUCGAAAGCGUGGGUAUCGAACAGGAUUAGAUACCCUGGUA
rnacentral:rRNA from 1 species